rnacentral:ncRNA from 1 species
UUUAUUAAAGGAGACAUAGAAGCAUAUACUUAUCUGGGCACUUUGUAUAUGUGGAGUCGCUAGUGCAACCGACCUUAAUUGUA